rnacentral:rRNA from 1 species
GACGAACGCUGGCGGCGUGCUUAACACAUGCAAGUCGAACGAGUGUCGAACGGGUGGGUAAUACGUGAGUAACCUGCCCUCUUUUUGGGAUAAGCCUUGGAAACGGGGUCUAAUACCGGAUAAGUGGGGAUUGGCUCGCGGCCUAUCAGCUUGUUGGUGGGGGGGUGGCCUACCAAGGCGGUGACGGGUAGCCGGCCUGAGAGGGUGAACGGCCACAUUGGGAAUGGGAGACGGCCCAGACUUCCAAGGGAGGCAGCAGUGGGGGAUAAUGCACAAUGGGGGAAAGCCUGAUGCAGCGAAGCCGCGGGGGGGAUGAAGGCUUUCGGGUUGUAAAACUGUUUUGGUAUUGAAAGGGUAGGUGGAGAAGAAGCGCCGGCUAACUACGUGCCAGCAGCCGCGGUAAUAC